rnacentral:miRNA from 12 species
UCUACAUGGGGAAGUUAGUGCGCAGUAAGCUAGGGUGUGAAUUUACAGCACGCUAGCUGCUCUGCACUAACUCCCCCUGUGGA